CACACAUACACACGUACGCAGACACAAGUGAGAGUGCGCUCCUAACUCCUAGAACCCUUAUGCUGACACCUGUGUAUGCUGGAAACAGAUCAGUGUUACUAGAAGGCAACACUGAAGUUCACCUUCAGUGUCUGUGAAGCUUCAAGACUAUUAUACUUCCUGGCAGUAUGUUCCAGAACACAACAUCACACCACCUCCCACGGUUUCCAGAAAUAGAAUUGUUGUCUACCAGGGCUCUUGACCACAGCUGCCUUUGUCUGAGUAAAGAAAACUGGCUUCAUUAAGCAAGCAGACUAUGUGGGUGAAUUCUUUAUUUCUUCAAUCUUGCCUCUGACUGUGGUAUGGCCAACUGCUUGAGUUCCUGCUUUUCUCAGAAAAGAUGGAAAUGACCUGGAAUGCUGUGAUGUGGCCAACUGCCUGAGUUCCCGUCUUGACUUCCCAGAAAUGAUGGGCAAUAACCUGGGAAACGGACUGUAGCUCAAGGCUAUGCAAGCCUUUAGUAUCCCCUUCCGAAGACGUGCAUCAGGAUCCUAAGACGUUUGUUGCUUUUGUCCAGGUAUUUUAUCAAGAUCAACGAGCAAAGAAACUGAGGCAGGAAGCAGAACCUGGAUCGAAAGUUGCCUCUGGAAAGCAAAGACGCUAAGAUUUCAGUCUCCAACGUGCGCUGGCCAUGUCCUUGUGGUUUGCCAGUGCAUUGGUUGGACUCAGAAAACACAGUCUAAAAUGAGAUUGCUUGAUGGGUAAAGGCGUUUGCCACAGACUGCUGGCCUGAGUUCAAUCCCCAGAACGCACAUGUAGAAGAGGAAAGAAAGAACCAACUCCUAA
rnacentral:lncRNA from 1 species